GUGAAAAAUUAAAUACAACUCGCCAAAUAAUGUUGUUAACUAUUGUAGUAUGAAAUAUCAAAGUAAUUUACACAAAAAAUUCAGAAUAAUAAUACAAAUUGGUAAUGUGAAAAUCGCUUUUAAGACUAAUAAAUAAUAAUAAUUCAAUCAAACAUAUAAACAAUAGAACUGAAAACUACAAAAAAUUCCCAUUCUUUUUAUAUAAACUUAAAUGUUACUGUAAUAAAUUGUAUAUAGG